UACGGAGGGUGCGAGCGUUGUCCGGAAUCACUGGGCGUAAAGGGCGCGUAGGCGGCGCGGGAAGUCAUCGGUGAAAGUUCAGGGCUCAACUCUGAAUCGGCCGGUGAUACUCUCGUGCUCGAGCACUGUAGAGGCAGGUGGAAUUCCGGGUGUAGCGGUGGAAUGCGUAGAGAUCCGGAAGAACACCGGUGGCGAAGGCGGCCUGCUGGCAGUAGCUGACGCUGAUGCGCGACAGCGUGGGAGCAAACAGG
rnacentral:rRNA from 1 species